rnacentral:rRNA from 1 species
AAUCAACGCUGGCGGCGUGCCUAACACAUGCAAGUCGAGCGCGAAAGGGGAGCAAUCCCCAAGUAGAGCGGCGAACGGGUGAGUAACGCGUGGGUAAUCUGCCUCCGAGUGGGGAACAACACCGGGAAACUGGUGCUAAUACCGCAUGACAUCGUUGGACCUUCGGAUCUGACGACCAAAGCCGGGGACCGCAAGGCCUGGCGCUUGGAGAGGAGCCCGCGUCCGAUUAGCAGUUGGUGGGGUAAUGGCCCACCAAGGCUACGAUCGGUAGCCGGCCUGAGAGGGCGGACGGCCACACUGGGACUGAGACACGGCCCAGACUCCUACGGGAGGCAGCAGUGGGGAAUUUUCGCAAUGGGCGAAAGCCUGACGCAGCGACGCCGCGUGA